rnacentral:miRNA from 1 species
AUUUAGCCAGCUGAGUGGGGAGGAGAGAGGGACAGAGAGCCUGCUUGCUUUAAAGGAGCCAACCGGCUUUGCUCCUUUAAAGCAAGCAGGCUCUUUGUCCCUCUCUCCUCCCCACUCAGCGGCUCUUCUC